AAAGUGGUGAAGACGAAAUAAUAUUUUUGAGUAAAAUAAAAAGUAGUCAUACAUUCCAAAAUAUAAUGCAAAUGUUUAAUACUAACGUAUUGGACAAUUUUGAUAACAUUGAUAAUUUUUUUUUAUAUAAUUUUGAAAAAAAAAUGAAAGAGUGUAAAAUAAAUAAAAAGAAGAAAGACAAUUUUUGUUGUAUAGAAGAAAAAAGCAACGUAGCGCCACGACCAGCCCCUAACGUAUCAAAUGAAAUAGCAAUUAAUAUAGCUUAUACCGACGAUGAAAAUAGGUGUAGGAAUAAUCGAAUUAAGGAUAAACAAACAAAAGAACAAAAAAGGAAGCACAAGAACUAUCAUAACCAUUCAUAUAAAAACAAAUGUAAACAAAAUAUGAUAAAAAUUAUGGAAAAAAAAAAACAUUAUAUUAUUAAGAAUAAGUUAAAUUUAUACGUGAAAAUUAUGUUAAACAAAUACAUACAAGAGAGUAAGCGUUUGUUACAGUGGACAGAUUUGAAUGUUAAAAAGGCAGAUGUUGAAAUAGUAUGUUUUUUAUGUCAUUAUGGCGAUUAUAUAUAUAAAGGAAGAUUAAUCGCUUUUUAUGAUAUUUACAUACAUAGUGAAUGUUUAAAAUGGAGCUUAAACUGUGUACAAGAUGAUAAUAAUACUGUUAGUUAUACACAUACUUAUACUUGUCACAACACAGACGAUGAAAAGGGUGAUAAUGCAGACAUAACGAAUAGUAUCAGUGUUAUACAAAACAUAAAAAAGGAAACGGAAAAGGAAACGGAAAAGGAAACGGAAAAGGAAACGACAACCGAAACGACAACCGAAACGACAACUGAAACUUAUAAAAUUUAUAAUACUACCACUGUGGACUGCUUGUAUAACAAAAAUAAUGAAAAUAAAUUGUUAAAUAUUGAUCCGAAUUUGUGUAAAAAUGGUAUAAUAGAAAAUAAAAGUGAUAUUAAUUGUGGAAGUAGCAACACUAACUUAGGAAAUUUAAAGACGCAAGUUAAUAUGUCGAAAAAACAAAAAACAGAAUUGUUUUUUAAAGAAUAUGACGAUGACGAUUGCACUGUUAAAAACAAAAUAAACACUUUAUCAUCACCCAACGAACAAACAAUCAAUGAUAAUAAAAAAAACAAUGUAAAUAUGGAGAAUUCACAAAAUCUAAAUUUAAUAAACACAUCUGAAAAGAAUAAAUAUAAUGCUCAUGCAAAUAAUAUUUUAUUUGAUAAGAAUAAAAAUAAUAACAUUGAUGUAAAUGAAGAGGAAGUAAAAGAAAUAAUAUAUGACAGUAUUGAAUCAGUUUGUUUUCUUUGUGGGUAUAACAAUGCUAGUGUGUAUUGUAGUAAUGGUACUUGUGAUAUUAAGUUUCAUUUAAAUUGUGCUUUUUAUGCAACAGUAAUAAAACAUAGUAAUAGUUAUAAUAAUAAAUUUUUUCAUUAUGUAAAUUGUUGUAAUAUAACUAGGUUUACUAGAGAUACUAUUAUAUAUAAUAACUACGCUUCGAAUCAUUCUGCAAGUACUAAGAAAUAUAGUGGAAAUGGCAAUAGUAAUAUAAAAAUGGACGAAAAAUACAAUAAAGACAUUUAUCCAAUUCAUAUUAUAUAUAAUAUAAAAAAAAUAUGGUGUAAUGGCUGUUGGAACGAAAACAAAAUUUAUAAUAUAUUUGAUUCGAAGAGGGAAACAAAAUCAACAAACUUGGAGCCCAUUUUAAAACAAAUAGUUAGGUUUUAUUUUGAAAAUAAUUAUAAUUAUGUUAUGGACCGAAUUUUAAAUAAUAUAAAUGAACGUAUAAAAAUAAUAUACAAAAAGAAAUGUUUAUAUUUGCUACAAGAUAUUGUAAAUAAAGAAAAAAAAAUAGAUUGUAAAUUAAUAAAGUUAGAAAAGGUAAUAAACAAAUAUGUAAAUAAAAAUAAAGAAAAAAAUUUUAUUUUAGAAAAAUACAGCACUAUUAUGAAACAAAAUGGUUCGAUUGGUAAAAGAGAGGGGAAGCUACUGGGCAUGCAACUGAAUGGACAAGUGAAUAAAAACAUGAAUAAUGAGAUGUAUAAAUAUGCUAAUACACAACAAUAUAUAAUUGACAAAGAGAAUUAUAUGAUGCAAUAUAAUAUACAUAAUAACGAGAGCAAGGACG
ensembl:lncRNA